rnacentral:lncRNA from 1 species
GGGAUUCUGGGGGAAGGAGUUAUACUCAGUGGUGGCCAUAGAGAGUUGGUGACUGCCUUUGAGAGGAGAAUGGUUGUGAUCCUUUUGCCGAGAACUCACCCAGAGGACUUAUACCUUGGUGACAGCAGAAGGACUCAAAUUAGAAAACUGAGGCCCAGAGAAGGAAAGUAGCUGCCAGAGGUCACACAGCUAGGAUUGAGGGAUCAGAGAGUUCCUCCUCCCCCACAAGCUGGCACAUGUGGAUAUUGGCUCUGUUUUGCCUUUGACCCCUAGUGAAAGAAAAUACUGAGACGGAGUCUCGCUCUGUCGCCCAGGUUGGAGUGAAGCGGCUAGAUCUCAGCUCACUGCAACCUCUGCCUCCCAGGACCACAGGUCAUCCUCAAGCCUUCCUCCCAGGCUAUCCUUGUCCCUGAAUACUAAUGUCUAAAGGUCAGCCCAGCUACCAGCAGUGUGCAUGUGAUGUGUCCCAUCUCCCCUUCGGAUUGGAGGAAGAAGCUGUGUCCCUCCCAUCAGACAGACGGUCUCCUUAAAGAUUCUCCUGGUCUCCAGCUUGGGCUCUGCUGGAAAGAAGAGGAAGUAUUUAGCAAGGGUGAAGAUGGGUUCUUACUUCCCUGAGGCAACCAGAGAUAAGAAAAGACCAGAAUAUGAAUAUCCAGCAUUCCACAAAGAAUCCUACAGGCAGGGAUAUUGCCCAAUCACCAGUGCCUCGCAUCCCAGUUCUAUCCAAGAUCCAAGCUUGAUAUCCUCCUGAAAGACUUCCUGAAUCAGGUCACCAACAUGGACAUCUGAACUUCCAGAAUCAGGUCACCGUCUUUCUUCUCAUCUCUGGAUGUAUUUGGAGCUCAUUUGUCUGACGGUUUUUGAAUGCUAUCUUUUAAAAAUAAACUUUUACAAUUUGGGUUUAAUAAUUCUAGAUUUAUAGAAAAGUUGAAAAGAAAGUACAGAAAGUUCCCAUAUAUCCCUUAUCCAGUUCUCUUAAUGUUAACCUCCUACAUCAUCAUGGAACAUUUGCCAAAAUGAAGAUGUCAACACUGGUGCUUUGCUGUGAACUAAACUCCAGACUUUAUUCGGAUUUCAUGAAUUUUUCUCCUAAGGUCCCUUUUCCGUUCCGGCAUUCCACCCAGGAUAUCACAUUGCAUUUGGUGUUUGUGUCUCCUUGGUCUCCUCUGGUUCUUGAGAGUUUCUCAGUCUCUCCUUGUUUUUCGUGACUGAAGUUUCAAGGAGUACUGGUCAGGUAUUCCAUAGAAUGUCCUACUGUUAGCUUUCAGCAGUAAAAGCCUUUCCACAAACAAAA